ensembl:lncRNA
AUAUAUAUAUAUAUAUAUAUAUAUAUAUAUAUAUAUAUAUAUAUAUAUAUAUAUAUAUAUAUAUAUAUAUAUAUAUAUAUAUAUAUAUAUAUAUAUAUAUAUAUAUAUAUAUAUAUAUAUAUAUAUAUAUAUAUAUAAAAAAUAAUCUGCUGAAUCAAAAUUUUCAACAAUACUUUAUAACAAGUUUGGGACAUAAAAAAGCUCUCUAUUCCUGGCACACUUUGGAAUUAAAACCUUAUGUCUCCAACCCAAUGAGCUCAUCUUCAGACUCCACAGGAGAUAAUGAAGGCUUUGCAUGAAACAAAAUUCUGUAACAAAACUCGCAUGGUUAUGUGGUUUUGUCUGGGCUCAAGUGUAAAACAUAAAGCUUUUAUAUAAGUACUGAAAACAACCUGUGACGUCACACUACACUCUAACAAAAGAUGGUUCUUUAAACGUUCUUUACAUGUAGUAACGGUUCUAUUUAGAACCAUAGCAUCCUGAAGAACCCUUUUAUGCUGAAAUGGUACUUUGUGUUAGAGUUUAGGGCUCUUUAUUCCCACCCUUUUUGUUUUUUUAAAAUCUGUAACUGUCAAAGCUUCUCAUUAUUGAUUUUCUGGAGCUCAGACAUUGAACUACAGACUGUCAACACACUUUCAACAGGUAAAUGAUUUCAUUCUUUAAUUUAAAUACAAAUUUAACUUUAAAACUGUAACUGGUUUCCAAACAAACAUGUUCUUUUCUCUUUUUCUCUUUUUUGCACAUAUGUAAGUGUGAGCAGCUCUGUUCAGCUGAGGAUACUUCUCACCUCCUCUCCACUAAAUGCAUCACAUCCAACUCAUCCUCUGCAGAGAGAAAUUGCCACUCAGUCACACCAGAAUGAUGGAGUUAAAGUCAUCAUAGAGGAUUGUGAAGAUAUUUCACUGGAACUUUGUCUUCAUCAAAUAUAUAUAUUUUUUUUUAUUUUGUGUUUUACUUUUUUAUGUAUGUAUUCAUGUUCAAUGUCAACUGUCAACUGUUGUUAAGAGCACUGACAUUUUUGCUACAAUUCCACGUCAAUAAAAAAGUACCUAAUUCACACAAUAUGUUGUUGCUGCUGCUGUUGUUGAUGUUGUUGUUAUUUUAAUGUAAUAAUAUAUUAAAAUAAUAUUAAUAAAACUAAUAUUAAUGAUAUAAAUAUACUAAUAUACUGAUAUUAAUGAAAAUAAACUAUCAUUAAAAAGGUUAUUUAUAACACCAUUAAGGUUGUAUAUAUAGCACUUUCAAAGCAUGGUUCUUUGUGGAACCCUAUAAAAGGGUUCUAUUUAGCACCAAAAAUUGUUCUGCUAUUGUUACAAGCUGAAGAACCCUUUUCUGGUACUGUUUAGAACCAUUUUUCUCAUUAGUGUAUUUUACUGCAUGCUUCACGAAAUGUUCUUGUACACUUGAAUUUCCUCAAUGACUUGAAAAAGCUGAAAAAAGAAAAUAGUAGGCUAUAACCACAUGGCCAUUAAAUAUUUCAGAUGUAGGUUCUUGCAGUAGAUAAUCACCAAUGACUCUGGAAGAAGGGCCUUUUUUUGGAGUGAAAAUUUGCAAUUUCUGAGUGAAAAAAAUUCUGCCCCAUUUUUUUUUCUCAGUGUAAAAUGUAAUUUGUAGAAGACAAAUAUGGAAAUAUUAUUUAAAAGUUUAAGACAUUUCAAAACUCUCCAGCCUCCCCUAUAGUGUAUUGUGUUUGCUUUUCAGCACUCUUCCUCUGUUUAAAAAAGAAAGAAAAGAAAAAAAAAAUCAACAUCUACUGAAGCAGGGAUGGGCGGUAUUAAUGCCUUAACCCUGAGGCAGAGACUCUUGUUUUCACAUUACAUGAGUGCAUCAGAAUGACAACAUUGCUUAUCAGUAACUCGUGCAACGUUAUAGACAUUUAAUAGCAACCUGAUUUAAGCAGCCAACCAACGUGUCAGCAAU